rnacentral:rRNA from 1 species
UACGGAGGGUGCAAGCGUUAUCCGGAUUCACUGGGUUUAAAGGGUGCGUAGGUGGGCAAGUAAGUCAGUGGUGAAAUCUCCGGGCUUAACCCGGAAACUGCCAUUGAUACUAUUUGUCUUGAAUACUGUGGAGGUCAGCGGAAUAUGUCAUGUAGCGGUGAAAUGCAUAGAUAUGCCAUAGAACACCAAUUGCGAAGGCAGCUGGCUAGACCUGGAUUGACGCUGAGGCACGAAAGCGUGGGGAGCGAACAGG